rnacentral:rRNA from 1 species
AGAACGAACGCUGGCGGCAGGCUUAACACAUGCAAGUCGAACGCUCGUAGCAAUACGGGAGUGGCAGACGGGUGAGUAACGCGUGGGAACAUACCCUCCGGUUCGGAAUAGCUCAGGGAAACUUGGAUUAAUACCGGAUACGGCUGAGAGGCGAAAGAUUUAUCGCCGGAGGAUUGGCCCGCGUUCGAUUAGCUUGUUGGUGAGGUAACGGCUCACCAAGGCGAUGAUCGAUAGCUGGUCUGAGAGGAUGAUCAGCCACAUUGGGACUGAGACACGGCCCAAACUCCUACGGGAGGCAGCAGUGGGAAUAUUGGACAAUGGGCGCAAGCCUGAUCCAGCCAUGCCGCGUGAGUGAUGACGGCCUUAGGGUUGUAAAGCUCUUUCGCUCGGGACGAUAAUGACGGUACCGAGAUAAGAACGCCCGGCUAACUUCGCGCCAGCAGCCGC